rnacentral:rRNA from 1 species
AACGAACGCUGGCGGCAUGCCUAACACAUGCAAGUCGAACGAGAUCCUUCGGCGUCUAGUGGUGCAUGGGUGCGUAACGCGUGGGCAUCUGCCCUUCGGUUCGGAAUAACAGUUAGUAAUACCUGCUAAUACCGCAUGAUGACGUUAAGUACAAAGAUUUAUCGCCCGAGGAUGAGCCCGCGUAGGAUUAGCUCGUUGGUGUGGUAAAGGCGCGCCAAGGCGACGAUCCUUAGCUGGUCUGAGAGGAUGAUCAGCCACACUGGGACUGAGACACGGCCCAGACUUCUACGGGAGGCAGCAGGGGGGAAUAUUGGACAAUGGGCGCAAGCCGGAGCCAGCAAUGCCGCGUGAAUGAUGAAGGCCUUAGGGUUGUAAAGCUCUUUUACCCGAGAUGAUAAUGACAGUAUCGGGAGAAUAAGCCCCGGCUAACUCCGUG